rnacentral:rRNA from 1 species
GUGAGGAAUAUUGCGCAAUGGAGGCAACUCUGACGCAGUCAUGCCGCGUGCAGGAAGAAGGCGCUACGCGUUGUAAACUGCUUUUAACCGGGAAGAAACCCCAGGACGUGUCCUGGGUUGACGGUACCGGAGGAAUAAGCACCGGCUAACUUCGUGCCAGCAGCCGCGGUAAUACGAAGGGUGCAAGCGUUAUCCGGAUUCAUUGGGUUUAAAGGGUGCGUAGGCGGAGCGUUAAGUCAGUGGUGAAAUCCUGCAGCUUAACUGUAGACUUGCCAUUGAUACUGGCGCUCUUGAGUGCGCUUGAAGUGGGCGGAAUGUGCCGUGUAGCGGUGAAAUGCUUAGAUAUGGCUCAGAACACCAAUUGCGAAGGCAGCUCACUAAGGCGAUACUGACGCUGAGGCACGAAAGCGUGGGGAUCGAACAGGAUUAGAAACCCCAGUAGUCC